AGCCACUGUAUGUCUUGACAUAUUAGAUGCUGUUGGUUAAGAGUGCCAUGUAAUUUUUGAUUUCACCUCCUUUUCCACCAUUUUAACAAGGAGUUCCUCAGGGGCUUGUUAUAGUUGACAUAGAGUGAGUUGACCCUCAGCUUUGGCUUUCCUUAGGGGAUGGAAGUAUAUGUUGGUAGACCCCAAGGGUUAAAAUAAAGAUAUUGAUAUGGGCUGGAUAUGGCAGAGACUAUGAUUUUUCUUGUUCUAUUAAGAAGAGCCCAGAGAUGCUGAAUCUUGCUAAGCAAGAGAAACCCUGGGAAAAAGGGAACAAAGGAAGUGAGUAAUUUUGCAUAAUUAAUUUAAUUUGUCAAGAAAUCUAGUGGAUGGGAUUAGUUAUAAUUUUACACACAAUUUCUGGGACGAGAAACAAAAACAUUUUUAAGAGAUCAAAGCCUGGAAAAGCAGCAGAUAAAACGUUAGUCUGAAACAUGGAAGAAAAGGGAAUUAAUUUUCCUUGUUUCUGUUUCUAAAAUAUGACAAUUAGUAGAAGGCUCCAAGUCAAAAUGUGUUUGCAACUCCUGAUGAAGUCAGUGUGUGGUGAGAGAAUUCCCCUCAGCUGCUGAGAGCAAAGAAAGAAAGCUGAGCUGUUCUUGAGGGUUUGGUUUAUAACCAGUUGCGGAAACAGAAUUGUCUGUUUGGGGUUGCCGAGCAGUGGCGGCCAAGCUAAGGAUCUUGAGUGAUGACCUCUGAGAACCCCAGCUCUGCCAGCCACCAUCUACCACCAGCGCAUUUUCAGUAGUGCUUGGAAAGCCCUCAGGUGGCAGGAGCUCUUUUGAGAGGCUCAGGAGUGAAUUAGCAGGCAGGCUUUCUUCGCAUUUAAUUUGCAACAGGACAGGAAGUCCCUGGAUCUUGUGAGCUCUGUAACAAGAAACUACAGCAGGUUUAAGCAUGGAUAUUGAGCUCAGUUCUUGGAAGAUUGAAGAACAACUUAGGUGGGCAAAUCUACCUCUGCUGCUGCUGCUGCUAAGUUGCUUCAGUCGUGUCUGACUCUGUGGGACCCCAUAGACGGCAGCCCACUAGGCUCCCCCGUCCCUGGGAUUCUCCAGGCAAGAACACUGGAGUGGGUUGCCAUUUCCUUCUCCAAUGCAUGAAAGUGAAAAGUGAAAGUGAAGUCUACCUCUACAACUGUCAAUUUUAUUAACUCUCAGUACAGUCCAAACAUUUCUGGUGAAACUUUAUCGUCCUCAUUGAGAUGAGCAGUAAAGGUCAAGGACUUACUGGAUUUCCAAGACUCAGUAGGAGAACAAGAAGGAUGUCCAUCUCCUCCUUCUCUUGGACAUUGGAGCUCCUGGUACUUGGACCUUGGACUUGGAGUGAAUUACAGCCCUGACUCUCCUGGGUCUCCAGCUUUCUGAUGGAAGACUGGGGGACUUCUCGGCCUCUAUCACCAUGUGAGCCAAUUCCUGUAAUAGAAUCUCCUUAUACGUACUUGUAUGAAUAUUUCUAUAUGUCCCAAUUGCUCUGUUUUUCUGGACAACCAUGU